GACGAGCGCUGGCGGCGUGCCUAAUACAUGCAAGUAGAACGCUGAAGGAGGAGCUUGCUUCUCCGGAUGAGUUGCGAACGGGUGAGUAACGCGUAGGUAACCUGCCUGGUAGCGGGGGAUAACUAUUGGAAACGAUAGCUAAUACCGCAUAACAGUAGAUGUUGCAUGACAUUUGCUUAAAAGGUGCAAUUGCAUCACUACCAGAUGGACCUGCGUUGUAUUAGCUAGUUGGUGAGGUAACGGCUCACCAAGGCGACGAUACAUAGCCGACCUGAGAGGGUGAUCGGCCACACUGGGACUGAGACACGGCCCAGACUCCUACGGGAGGCAGCAGUAGGGAAUCUUCGGCAAUGGACGGAAGUCUGACCGAGCAACGCCGCGUGAGUGAAGAAGGUUUUCGGAUCGUAAAGCUCUGUUGUAAGAGAAGAACGAGUGUGAGAGUGGAAAGUUCACACUGUGACGGUAUCUUACCAGAAAGGGACGGCUAACUACGUG
rnacentral:rRNA from 1 species